AAGUCUGUGGAUCAAUGGAACGACACUAAAUGGCACAGAUACACCACGUCACGCAGAAUUUCAGGGGAUUUAACUUAUCUGAACAUAUCACGUGUGAAAAGGCUUUUUCCGAGCCCUGUAGAUGGGUCAGGGAUAUGGAAAUGCAAGUGGAAGAAAGUACAAGGAGGCUUUAGCAGGGACGGGGAGGGUUAUGCCACAGCAAGAAGACUCUCACCAGAUGCCAGUGCCAUGCUGUUGGACUUCCCAGCCUCCAGAACUUUCAGAGACACCCCUGCCCCCAGAUUCAUACUCCAGGCUGGGAGCCACUGGCAUAACUGACGGAUGAAAAGAAGAGAAGAAUGGACACAGAGAGAUUGGAGGUGGAGAAUGAGAGCAGGC